GAAUCUUGCGCAAUGGGCGAAAGCCUGACGCAGCGACGCCGCGUGCGGGAAGAAGGCCUUCGGGUUGUAAACCGCUUUCAGGGGGGACGAAGCCACUCGGGUGAACAGCCCAGAGGGUGACGGUACCCCCAGAAGCAGCCCCGGCUCACUACGUGCCCGCAGCCGCGGUAAUACGUAGGGGGCAAGCGUUGUCCGGAUUUAUUGGGCGUAAAGAGCGUGUAGGCGGCCUGGAAGGUCGGUUGUGAAAACUGGAGGCUCAACCGUCAGACGUCGACCGAAACCCCCUGGCUAGAGUCCGGAAGAGGAGAGUGGAAGUCCUGGUGUAGCGGUGAAAUGCGCAGAUAUCAGGAAGAACACCCGUGGCGAAGGCGGCUCUCUGGGACGGUACUGACGCUGAGACGCGAAAGCGUGGGGAGCGAACAGG
rnacentral:rRNA from 1 species